rnacentral:rRNA from 1 species
UACAGAGGUGGCAAGCGUUGUUCGGAAUUACUGGGCGUAAGCGCAGUAGGCGGCCAACUAAGUCCGACGUGAAAUCCCAAGGCUUAACCUUGGAACUGCGUCGGAUACUGGAUGGCUUGAAUUCGGGAGAGGGAUGCAGAAUUCCAGGUGUAGCGGUGAAAUGCGUAGAUAUCAUGAGGAAUACCAGAGGCGAAGGCGGCUACCUGGACAAUUGCUGACGCUCAGGCACGAAAGCGUGGGGAGCAAACAGG